GAUCAUGGCUCAGGAUGAACGCUGGCGGCGUGCUUAACACAUGCAAGUCGAACGAAGCACAAACGAUUGAUUCUUCGGAUUGAAAUGUUGUGACUGAGUGGCGGACGGGUGAGUAACGCGUGGGGAACCUGCCUUACACAGGGGGACAACAGAGGGAAACCUCUGCUAAUACCGCAUAACCCGCUAGGGCCGCAUGGCCCGGACGGAAAAGAUUUAUCGGUGUAAGAUGGACCCGCGUCUGAUUAGCCAGUUGGCGGGGUAACGGCCCACCAAAGCGACGAUCAGUAGCCGAACUGAGAGGUUGACCGGCCACAUUGGGACUGAGACACGGCCCAGACUCCUACGGGAGGCAGCAGUGGGGAAUAUUGCACAAUGGGGGGAACCCUGAUGCAAGCAACGCCGCGUGAGUGAAGAAGUAUUUCGGUAUGUAAAGCUCUAUCAGCAGGGAAGAAAAUGACGGUACCUGACUAAGAAGCCCCGGCUAACUACGUGCCAGCAGCCGC
rnacentral:rRNA from 1 species